GAACACCUUUAUUUAACCAGGUAAGCUAGUUGAGAACACCUUUAUUUAACCAGGUAAGCUAGUUGAGAACACCUUUAUUUAACCAGGUAAGCUAGUUGAGAACACCUUUAUUUAACCAGGUAAGCUAGUUGAGAACACCUUUAUUUAGCCAGGUAAGCUAGUUGAGAACACCUUUAUUUAGCCAGGUAAGCUAGUUGAGAACACCUUUAUUUAACCAGGUAAGCUAGUUGAGAACACCUUUAUUUAACCAGGUCGGCUAGUUGAGAACAAGUUCUCAUUUGCAACUGCGACCUGGCCAAGAUAAAGCAUAGCAGUGUGAACAGACAACACAGAGUUACACAUGGAGUAAACAAUAAACAAGUCAAUAACACAGUAGGAAAAAAAUCAAUGCAACAUUGACUUUAUCCCAUUGACUUUAUCCCAACCCUGGUUAGCCUCUAUUGGCUUAAAAAGCCAAACCUAACACUAUCUUUCAAUUUUAAUUUCC
ensembl:lncRNA